rnacentral:rRNA from 1 species
GACGAGCGCUGGCGGCGUGCUUAACACAUGCAAGUCGAACGGUGAAGCGCCUUCCUUUUUGGUGGGUGUGGAUGAGUGGCGAACGGGUGAGUAACACGUGAGUAACCUGCCCCCUUCUUCUGGAUAACCGCAUGAAAGUGUGGCUAAUACGGGAUAUUCUGGGUCUGUCGCAUGAUGGGUCUGGGAAAGAUAUUGUUUCGGUGGGGGAUGGGCUCGCGGCCUAUCAGCUUGUUGGUGGGGUGAUGGCCUACCAAGGCGGUGACGGGUAGCCGGCCUGAGAGGGUGGACGGUCACACUGGGACUGAGACACGGCCCAGACUCCUACGGGAGGCAGCAGUGGGGAAUAUUGCACAAUGGGCGCAAGCCUGAUGCAGCGACGCCGCGUGAGGGAUGGAGGCCUUCGGGUUAUGAACCUCUUUCGCCAGUGAAGCAGGCCUGCCUCGUUUGUGGGUGGGUUGACGGUAGCUGGAUAAGAAGCGCCGGCUAACUACGU